rnacentral:misc_RNA from 1 species
GCUUUUCAAUGGGGUAAGGAUGUGAGCAUAGAAAAUCUUCAUCAAGGUUUCACUCAUGUUUUCGAGUCUACGUUUGACAGUUUAGAAGGUGUUGCAGAGUAUAUAGCUCAUCCUGUUCAUGUUGAAUAUGCAAAUACAUUGCUUCCUCAGCUGGAGAAAUUCCUUAUCGUCGACUACAAACCACAGUAACUCAGUCCCUAAACUGAAUUCUCAAAUUGAUGCACUUAUAGUAAUCGAUAUAUCUGUUUUUACUUGAAAUCCAAUAAGAACACAAACUUUUCUGAAGUGUGUGUUUUGCUUGUUUGCUAUUACUGUAUUCAUUUCAUAGACGCUAAUGCGAGUUAGUUUUGGUCAGCUUGUGCUGUUUUUAGAAUGUUUUUCGUUCAUCUCUUCCCAGGAUGAAUGAAUGAUGAACAACAUGUUGUAAGUGUAUCAAUAAACUCAAAUUUGU